UGGCUGUAGCUACAUGAAUUCAAUUUGGGAAGUUUACUGCCUGUUGUUGUUCUGAUGUCGAAGUAUCUGCUUAUCGAACUUCCUACAUUU
rfam:Nicotiana attenuata strain TT chromosome 1, whole genome shotgun sequence.